UACGGAAGGCAGCAGUGGGGAAUAUUGGACAAUGGGCGCAAGCCUGAUCCAGCCAUGCCGCGUGUGUGAAGAAGGCCUUCGGGUUGUAAAGCACUUUUGUCCGGAAAGAAAAGCUUAGGGUUAAUAACCUUGAGUCAUGACGGUACCGGAAGAAUAAGCACCGGCUAACUUCGUGCCAGCAGCCGCGGUAAUACGAAGGGUGCAAGCGUUACUCGGAAUUACUGGGCGUAAAGCGUGCGUAGGUGGUUUGUUAAGUCUGAUGUGAAAGCCCUGGGCUCAACCUGGGAAUGGCAUUGGAAACUGGCUUACUAGAGUGCGGUAGAGGGGUGUGGAAUUCCCGGUGUAGCAGUGAAAUGCGUAGAUAUCGGGAGGAACAUCUGUGGCGAAGGCGACACCCUGGGACCAGCACUGACACUGAGGCACGAAAGCGUGGGGAGCAAACAGGGAUUAGAUACC
rnacentral:rRNA from 1 species